UACAGAGGGUGCGAGCGUUAAUCGGAAUUACUGGGCGUAAAGCGCACGUAGGUGGCGACGUAAGUCGGGUGUGAAAGCCCCGGGCUCAACCUGGGAAUUGCAUUCGAGACUGCAUUGCUGGAGUACGGAAGAGGAAGGCGGAAUUCCCGGUGUAGCGGUGAAAUGCGUAGAUAUCAGGAGGAACACCGAUGGCGAAGGCAGGUCUCUGGGCUGACACUGACGCUCAUGCACGAAAGCGUGGGGAGCAAACAGG
rnacentral:rRNA from 1 species